AGGUGUUGGGAUUUUGUCUUUAAUACACUAGGGAUCCAUUGAAGGUUAGUGAGCAGGGAUGUUGCCUGCUCAAAGUAGUGCUUGGGUCAGAUUAGCCUAGCAAUGUUACAUUCCAUUUACAUUCAUGCCUGCAUCUGGAAAAAUAAUGCAAAAAUGCUGCCCUAUCUUUUGGUAGCCUGGGAUGACUAACAGUGGUCUUCAGUGCUGUCUACCAAAUAUUUCUAAUUUUCUGCCUUCUGGGAACAUAGCAUAGCAUUACAUUUUCCUGUCUGCUUCAAAGUUAGGUGUGACUAUGUGAUCUACCUAAACCAAGGCAGGGAUUGGCAAACUUUUUCUCAAAGGACUAGAUAGAAAAUAUUUUCAGCUCAUGGGCCAUAUAGUCUCUCUUGCAACUACACAACUUCGCUGUUGAAGUACGGGAGCAGUCACACAGUGCAAUGGAGCACGCAUAGCUGUGUGGCAGUAAAACAUGUAGAAAAACAGGCAGCUGUACAAUGCGUGUGAGCAGAAGUGACACUUUUGGACAGAAGCUCUAAGAGCUGGUGCCCAGUUCAAUGGCACUGCUGUAAUCCUAGAGGCACAUGUGAAAGUUCAAAGCCUCUGUCAGGCUGGGACCCCAAGUGACUACAUGAGCCAAGUCCCUGUCAAUACAAUGCAUGUUGCACAUGUAGCAUAGUUAAGAAAUAAACCUGGCAGUGUUAAGGCAGUACGAUUUUGAUGCUGUUUCUUACUGCAGCAUAACCUCUCUCUGCAGAAUGAUACAGUAUCAUCUUUGUAUGCAAAGCAUCACAUCACCAUUCUUUCAGUCCUCGUCAUUACAGCUGACAUUUACUAAACACUAUGUGCCAAAUACUAAUGGUGGGGGGGACUUUACCAACAUCAUUUCAAUAAUUCCUUCUCACAACCAUAUGACGUGAGUGCUGUGAUUAUACCCAUUUUUGAAGAAAAAGAAAAUGGAAUUUUUGAGAGGUGAAUUAACUUGCUUACAAUCUUAACAAAUGGUUAAGUGGAGGAAGUGGGAUAUGAGCCCAGAUUUUCUCAUUCUAAAUCCGAAGUUCUUCAGCUCUGUGUAUCCUGCCUCAGGUCCAGGCCUUUGGCAUUUUUCUUUUAUCUCUUGGCCCCUUUGCUACUUUGAUCACUGUUCUUGGCUGGGUGUGUUAUUUUGACGUGAUCCACAGUGGCCCUGUCACAGGGCAAGAAUGAAGAAUCAUGCUUCCAGAAAAGCGCUGCUCUGAGCAGUGGAGGUGAGAGGAAAUAGCCCGGAGGGAUGAAUUGGAUUGGCAGUUCUGACCACACGGUAAGAGGACCACGUGGAGAUUGGCAGAUCCUUAAGAACUGCUCCCAGUCACGUACCUAUGUAUUUCCAUCAGUCAUCCAGAGCCAGUUGUCAUCUUUCCAUUCUCAACCAUGUUCAUGUCUUUCUUUGAAAGGAAAAAAUAAUUUACAUUCUGGAACUGUCUUAAGAAAUUGUGCUACUCUCCUUCCUGGCCUGAAUAAGCUGUGACUGUCAUCUCUGAUGGGUUUAAAGACAAUUUACCAAUCUUGUAUUGCAACAGCCUUCCUCUAUUGGACACUGUAAUAAGAAGUCACAUAAUGAGUUCUUAUAAUUCUCAAGAGCUACCAUGGAAGAUACUAUCCAUUAUGCUAUUCAAUAUUUCUUACUUAAAGUCUCAUUUAAUUAAGUUUUCUAUUUAGUAUCAUGGAAUUUUUUCAAUAAAAUUAUACCUUUCCCUAAUCAAAAAUGAGCAUUGCAUAAGCAAUUAUAUUUCACUUUUUACCUUGCCCAUUGGAAAUAAGGAUUUACUUGAUACUUGAAAAUAUAACUGUUUUGACUGAGGAUCAUGGUGGAAAAUCUUUACUCAUUCCCCCCCUGCUUCUCCUUCACCCCUGUGGGUUCAGAUAUCUGUUUCUGACUUUUAAGUUUUAAAUGUAUAACAUUUUUAUUGUAGGUCACUGAAAAUCCUUCUUGGAAGUAGAUAAGAUGUCAAUUAUAAUUUAUAACUUCAGUAGGCCAUGUGAUAGCAAGUCAGUGAGUAGCGUGGAGUUAACAUUCCGAGCUUCUACUUCCCUCUUCCUGGUUGAAAGUUCUUGUUGUUUAUCAUCUAAGAGUAUCAUCCCUCAGUGUGGGAAACCUUUAAGAUACAGAUCCACUUCCCUUUUUUACAAUGACAAAUCAAAGUAUUAUCCUUGUUCUAAACUUACUUCAUGCAUAGACCAAUGAUCCAAAAAAGAGAUUUUGGGGGCCAUCAGAUUUGAUGAAAUUAGUCACAGCAGCAGAUGCUUUUUAUCAAGCAUUUGCUUGCCAGACAUUAUACUGCCCAUUUUGCAUGCUGUAUUAUGUUUACCCUCCAACCUGUGAGAUAUGUCUUCUUAUUGGGCUGGGGAAACUGCGGUUCAUGUAAGUAAAGUGACUUGUCAAGACACUCAGUCAAGGAGAGGCUCAUGCAGUCAAGGAGAUUUAAACACAGGUGUUUGUGACGAGAACUGCACUCCUGCUUUGCCACAAUCGAUUCUUGAUGAUGAUGAUGAUGUCAGGUACUGUUCUUCUACAUGCUAGGUACUAUUCUAAGUGCAAUGCUAUGUUCCCAGAAGGCAGAAAAUUAGAAAUAUUUGUACUAUUCUAAGUGAUUGAUAUUGUAUUAAUAUCCCUAUGACAGGUUCUGCUACCACCAUUUUACCAUGGGGAAACCAAGGUACAGAGAGGUUAAGUAACUUGCCAUAGGUCACAUAGGUAGUAAAUGGUGGAGGGAGGAUUUGAAUCUAGAUAGUUUGGCUCUAAGGCCCACUCGUUUGCUAUGCUGCACUCUCUUUGGUCAUAUCAGUCUAUAGAUAUGGUGGAUAUAUCCGACAGAAAAAUUAAGAUCUUGGAUCAUGAAGCCUAGAUCCUGGUUCCCAUUCUGCCAAAUACUAUGUGCCAAGUAGUACAGAUAGGACUUUACCAACAUCACUCCAAUAAUUCCUUUUCACAACCAUAUGACAUGGGUACUAUUAUUAUACCCAUUUUUGCAGAAAAAGAAAAUGGAAUUUUGCAAGAGGUGAAUUAACUUGUCUACAAUCUCAUCACCUCCCUUCUGUACCAACCAGGGUCAUGGUUAGAAGACCAGAACCACACCAUUUGUUUUAGCAGAGUUUAAGGAGGGAGUUGAUUAAACAGGCAUGGGAGGCCUACCCUGAGGUAACAUAGAGAUAUAACCACAGGAAGCAGCCUCCACCCCCAAGGCCAAGGGAACAGAGGACAGAAGCUUGGAGAAGUGGGGCUCAUAGAACCACAGCUCAGCCUUCAGAGGAGGGACCAUCACUUGGCUGGUGUUGGUAUCUUAGGUCCUUGGAGGAGGGCCUCCCAGAGCAGAGGCUCAGACCUUGGAGAACAGGGUACUGCCAGAGGCUGCUGGUACCUCUGAGGGGUAUGGUGCGGCUGGUUCUGGGAGUGUGGGAAAAUGGGAAACCAGAACCAAGUUCAAUGCCAAGGUGAAGAACCACCACUGGGUGAGCUACAGGAGCAACCCUCCCCCUGCCUUGCAUCCUCCCUCCAGUGCCCCCUGUUGGCAGAAACUAACACAGAGCCAGUCGUUAGGGAGCACUGUGAUUUGCACGUUUUCUGAUUUCUAGCCAAAUAUAACUGAACAGAGACUAGAAGGGGUUGUUCAGGGCUGAGAGACAAGAGCUUCAUAAAUGGUAAUCGUUCUUCUGCUGCCAUUUCUUUAUUGAUAAAACAAAGACUGAACAGAUGGUGUGCAGGGAGCAAAUGAUACUCCCGUUUACCCACUCUCCUGGGCUUCUAUCAGAGUAAAAAGAUGUAGCUUAUCAAGUUCUCCUCUCCUCCUCUCUUUCCACUUGACAGUGAGCAUCUUGAGGCCUAAUAUGUUAUUUCUCCCAGUACUUGUCUAGUGCAAGGGCCAGUUCUUGGUGAGGGCUGCUAUUCUAUGCUUGAACUAUAUAACUGCCAGAUUUGGACAUGUACUUAAGUCACCAACUAUUGAAUGAUCAUAGAGGGUGUGCCCAGCCCUGGACCAGGGACUGUGGAGAAGAAGGACAUGCUUGAGGCAUGGACUGGCUGUGAAUGAACUGACAGUCUUCUUAUAUGAGUGACAUGAACCCAACAAGCAAAGAGCAGGUUCUUGCUUAUGUGACAAAAUGUCUCAAAUUUGGGUAGGUUCAGGUAGAGUUUGAGUUUAGGAAAGGGAGCACGAUCACAUGACUUGGAGUAAUUGUUUCUUACCAACAUCCAAUAUACUCACUUGGAGACACCAUUUCUCCAAAAGUAUGUGUGUUUAGAAAAGCUAUUUUAUUCUGCCAUCUCUAGAGGCUUCCAUGCGCAUCCAAUAAUGUGCAACUUCUCACAUUUUAAAAAAUUAAGGUGGAGAUAUCAAGAGAACAUUCAGAAGUUACUUGUUCAUGGCUGCAGAAAAUCUGCAACAGAGAAAUCACGUUAGGAGCAGCCCUGGGUGCAUCUUCACAGGCCUCCACCAAAUGAGUGAGCACAGCUGACCUUUUGCUAGAAGGUGUCACUGAGCUCCUUAUCUAGGCCCAGACCAGAAUGUAACCUUGCAGAUAUGAUCCCAUGAGAGAGCUGCCCAUCUCUCUGACAGUGGGAACAUUGUUCCCUAGCCUCAAGGAAGGCUUCAGGGAGUCAUUUAAUGACGCAGCAUUUGAUCUUCAGGGUUUGCAGAGAAAGAUAAAGUGGCCCAGAGGAAAUGAAAACAUUCCUCUGGAGUCACCUGCCUACGUCAGCAAGAUGCAGGAACAUUGGAUUAAACAACUGAGAAGUACUCUGAUGCUUGCUGGAUUCUUUGAGAUGAUCACACCAUUGACAUCACUUUUCCUGAUCAGAAUACUGACUCUUUAUGCAGGAAUGGGGCUGUGUUCUUUACACAGAGCCCUCAGGCACACUCCAUAAUCUUUAAAGAUCGAAGUAUGAGUUACAUAAAGCAAACCCCAGGAACCUGAAAUGCAUAGCUUGACAGAGUUUUCACAUGUUUACACUAUGUGACCAGAUAAGGUCAUAGACUAUUUCUAGUACCCUAGAAGACUUCUUUAGGCUCCCUCCUAGGAAGCUCUCUUCACCCUCCCAUUCUGACCUUAGAUUAGUUUUGCCUGAUCUUGAAUUUUAUAUUAUAUGGAUUUUAGAAGAGAAUACUCAUUUAUGUCUGGAUCUUUUGCUGAAUAUUGUACAAUUUCAUUUUUACUAAUGGAGAAACUGCAUACAAGUUCAGAGAAGUGUUAUGACCUGAACAAGGUUUUACACCUGGAGUCCUACAAUAUUUUCCAUUUCACAGCUCUUUUGCUAUAAUCCAUAUAUCCAGCCAUCCAUACAUCCAUUCAUCUAAACCUAUCAUAAGCAAUGGCUUUGUGUCAGGGAUGAUUCUAGGUCUUGGACAUAUAGAUAUGAGUAUGUCACCCCUACCCUCAGGGAGCUCCCAGUAUAGUGGGAGAGAAAUAUCUCAGGUGCAUAAUCAAACAGGACUUGUGAGGGCAUAGAACAAAAGGCUGUAUAUUUAUGUGCAUGCUGAGAGGAGGAAUCUGUGACUGGAGGGCUCAGCAUGGAAGGGAUGACAUUAGAGCAGAAUUGCAUUCUUGGACAUUUUUCUUGUUUUUUUCUUGCCAACAGGGAUGCAAAUUCUAAGAAGACAGGAUUGGGGUCAUCUUCUGUUUAUAUCCUAUAGCACCUUGCAGUCAUGGAGCCAGCAGGAAAUUAUUGCUGAAUUCAUAGCCUACAACCUUUAAACAUUGUGAAAUGUCUUCUCUAAGGGUAUGAGUAGUACACCUAGAAUCUUCUAACUAGACAGAAAGCAGAGAGUGACAGGUUACCAUCUUGAGUUAUUUGAUUAGAUACUUAGAAAGGUUAUAAAGAUCUUUAGCAAACAACAAUGCCAGUUUCUGCAGAGUUCCUGGUGUGGAACCCUAUAGCCAGAGAAACAUAAGGCCCUGGAUGAAUCUCUGAAAAUCGUGUCUGCCAACUUGCUUCUCUAGGUAGGUGAGAACUUGUUCAAGACUUUUUCAUCCUUACAGGACAUUAGAAAACACACUGUGGCAAACACAUCCUAAGGUGACCCACAAUGAAUAUAACCCCUUUAUAACCCCCCUGUAUAAUCCUCUCCCUUGAUAAUGGCAGAUCCUGUGCAUCUAACCAAUAGAAUAUGGCAAAAGUAAUGGGAUGUCACUCCUAUGAUCAUGUUAUGUUAUAGAAGACUCUGUCUUAGCAGACAGGAGAGAGUGUCUCUUGUUGGCUUUGAAAAAGCACGCAGCCAUGUGUGAGAGGGCCUGAGAAGAGAGCCACAGGGCAGGAAGCUGUGUGUGGCCUCUAAGACCUGAGUAGCCUCCAGCCAGUAGUCAGUAAGAAGCUGGGUCCCUAAAUCCUACAGCUGCUGGGAAAUAAAUUCUGCCAACAACCUGAAUGAGCUUGGAUUCUUCCCCAGUCAAGCCUCCAGAUGAGAAUGCAGCCCAUUUGACACUUUGAUUGAAGCCUUGUAACCCCUGAGCAGAGGACCCAACUAAAUUGUGUCUACACUCUUUACCCACAGAAACUGGGAUGUUAUUAAUAUGUGUUGUUUUAAGCUGCUAAAUUUAUAGUGAUUUGUUACAAAGCAAUUGGUAACUAAUGCAUGCACUUAUAUGCAAACACUGAUUGUGUCAAAACAACCCUUGUGUGACACAUAGUUCUACAGAGACUGUAAGUCUUAUAUACACAUACAUAGGUUGUAGAAUAAUAACCAAUGAAUUAUUUUUAUGAUUUCAAUUAGCAUUUUACUUUUAUACUAUUGUGGGCUCUGACUUAUCUAAGAAGUAAAGCAAGUGACUCGGCAGGAGAAGAUGGUGACCAUGUGGGAUGAGGCCGAGCAAGAUGGAAUUGGGGAGGAGGUGCUCAAGAUGUCCACGGGGGAGAUCAUCUCGUACACACAGAUACUGGACAGUGAGAUCAAGAUCAUGAAGAGUGAAGUGUUGAGAGUCACCCAUGAGCUCCAAGCCAUGAAGGACAAGAUCAAAGAGAACAGUGAGAAAAUCAAAGUGAACAAGACCCUGUCAUACCUUGUCUCCAACAUCAUUGAGCUCCUAGAUGUUGAUACUAAUGACCAAGAGGAGGAUGGUGCCCAUAUUGACCUGGACUCCCAGAGGAAGGGCAAGUGUGCUGUGAUCAAAACCUCUACAUGACAGAUGUACUUCCUUCCUGUGAUUGGGUUGGUGAUGCUGAAAAGCUAAAGCCAGGAGACCUGGUGGGUGUGAACAAAGACUCCUAUCUGAUCCUGGAGACGCUGCCAACAGAGUAUGACUUGCGGGUGAAGGCCAUGGAGGUGGAUGAGAGGCCCAUGGAACAAUACAGUGACAUUGGGGGUUUGGACAAGCAGAUCCAAGAACUGGUGGAGGCCAUUGUCUUGCCAAUGAACCACAAGGAGAAGUUUGAGAACUUGGGGAUCCAACCUCCAAAAGGGGUGCUGAUGUAUGGGCCCCCAGGGACAGGGAAGACCCUCCUGGCCUGGGUCUGUGCCAUACAGACUAAGGCUACCUUCCUAAAGCUGGCUGCCCCCAGCUGUGCAGAUAUUCACUGGAGAUGGUGCCAAGCUAGUCUGGGAGGCCUUUGCCCUGGCCAAAGGGAAAGCACCCUCUAUCAUCUUCAUUGAUGAGUUGGAUGCCAUCGGCACCAAGCGCUUUGACAGUGAGAAGGCUGGGGACCGGGAGGUGCAGAGGACAAUGCUGAAGCUUCUGAACCAGCUGGAUGGUUUCCAGCCCAACACCCAAGUUAAGGUAACUGCAGCCACAAACAGGGUGGACAUUCUGGACCCCGCCCUGCUCUGCUCGGGGCGCCUGGACCGCAAGAUCGAGUUCCCAGUGCCCAACGAGGAGGCCCGGGCCAGAAUCAUGCAGAUCCACUCCCGAAACAUGAAUGUCAGUCCUGACGUAAACUAUGAGGAGCUGGCCCGCUGCACAGAUGAUUUCAACGGGGCUCAGUGCAAGGCUGUGUGUGUGGAGGUGGGCAUGAUCUCACUGUGCAGGGGUGCCAUGGAGCUCACCCACGAGGACUACAUGGAAGGCAUCCUGGAGGUGCAGGCCAAGAAGAAAGCCAACCUGCAGUACUAGGCCUAGGGUGCGCCGGCCGGCCCCAGUCUCAUGGCUGAAGUGCGCAAUAAAAGGUGGUUUAGGGUCAAAA